GCCUAUGGGCGGGCCUUGGUGAGGGAGUCGCAAGACUCGCCGGUUCCGUGGUGCCGGUCUUCCAACCUUGUCUUGUGCCCGCUCACCCGA
rnacentral:antisense_RNA from 1 species